AUGACUGCUGACUCCAAAGCCCGUGCUCUUUCCAGUGAGCCAUGCUGCUUCUCAUCAAGGCUUGAUCACCUGGAAAGGUUUCUGCUGCAAGGGGGCCCGGCUGCUGCCAGCAGUGCUCGACUUGUCCGAGCCAGUCCCUCCUACGAGCCCACAAGCUGUUUUUCCUCCACUCCUGCUACCCAUCGCUGGCAUCUGCGGGUGGGGGGUGGGUAGAGAAAGCAGGGUGGGGUGGCAGUCAGCAGACAUUUUCUAAUCUUCACAAGAGGAUGACAUUUCCAAGUUUCCUUUCUCCCAUGGUAUUACUUAGUAUUCCCUGUUUUCAUUAGUUCUUUCCCCCACUAACCAUCCUGUCUAGGCUGAGUUCUUUGCAACAGCUGCCUCUGGGUGUGAGUUAAGGGCAUCUCUCUUUAAUAGCCAGGACCCUCUCAUCUCCCUGAACCCCAGUCCAGGUUUUGGGAUCUCUAGGUCUCCUGGAAACAUAAUUAUGGUGUUUAUUACCAUGUGUUAAGUGCUGGGGUAGAUACAAAAUACCUUAUCCCCAUUUUGCUGAUAAGGAAUUGGAGGCGGAGAGAGGUUAAAUGACUUACCCAAGGUAAGCUGGGAUUAGAACCCAGGUUAACGCAGUCCUCCCUGGGUAUAAGGUUCCCAGUGCUGAGAGUCAUUGCUCCACACUAAAAGUAGCAAUAAGACAGUGUUGGUUCAUCUUUGUCACUAGGGUUUGGGCUUAGCACAUCUCCAGGUUGUGUACAUUGCAUAUCCUGAAGAGUAUCUUCGUGCUGGAGAAGGCUGUUUCGUAAAUCAAAUCAUAAAAAAAAAAACAAACACUGUGAAGAGUUCUACCUGACAAUUGACCGAAAGGAGUUGUGUGGAAUUAGUAAUAUUCUGUUGUAUUUGCCUCAGAAGUCAAUGCCUAGGCAACCUAGAACAAGGUUAGAUAAUAGCGUAACGUUGAAGUGUGGGGUGUAAAGCAUUCCUCUAUCUAGAUGUUAAGCUCAUUGAAGCAGGGCCUAUUUCUACCAGUUCUAUUAUAUUGUAGUCUCCCAAGUGCUUAGCACAGUGCUCUGCACAAAGUAAGCAGUCAAAUACCAUUGAUUAAUUCUAGAAACUUUUCUCAAAACCCGGCAGGAAAUCCAGUUCCCUUCACCUCAAAUGAGUAAUGGCUUCAUGACUUAUUUUGGGAAGACCUCUUGAAGAAUAAAGCUUCCUCUGACCUUACGGGCCUAUAGGUUUACAUUAGACCUGGGUUAAAUCAGAAGUGGCAGUGAAAACAGAAUUUAAGGACGUAAUUCAAGUGGGCAGUGUAUCUUCUGAGUUGCAUGAUGAGCUUCUGGUGAUGUAUCAUUAAGCACACCAUCCGCCUGUGAUGACUGCUUUUUUUGAUUUGGGGCUGUUAGCACCAGCUUCUGUUUUCAAUCCUGUCUUAGUCCCCCUGCCCCUCUCCUGAAGCUGCAAGCCAGGCUGGUUUGUCCCAUGGUCUUGUUCCUCUUGUUGCUUGAUGUUCUCUCCCUCUCUCUGCUUGCGUUGGUCUCCUGGCAGCUUGCCCUAUACCUUCAGAAUAUUCCACUGCUGCCCAUUCUCCACGUGUGGUUCACCUGAUGAAGCUAGGUUGUGAUGAAUGCCAUGUCAUUGCAUUCAUCCUGGAAGACUGUGUUCAAGCCUUG
rnacentral:lncRNA from 1 species